CAGCCGCCACGGUAAUACGAAGGGUGCAAGCGUUACUCGGAAUUACUGGGCGUAAAGCGUGCGUAGGUGGUGGUUUAAGUCCGUUGUGAAAGCCCUGGGCUCAACCUGGGAAUUGCAGUGGAUACUGGGUCACUAGAGUGUGGUAGAGGAUAGUGGAAUUUCCGGUGUAGCAGUGAAAUGCGUAGAGAUCGGAAGGAACAUCUGUGGCGAAGGCGACUAUCUGGGCCAACACUGACACUGAGGCACGAAAGCGUGGGGAGCAAACAGGAUUAGAGACCCCUGUAGUCCCUGUCUCUUAUAA
rnacentral:rRNA from 1 species